GCCUUUCUGAAUGUUCACUUCCUCAACAGUAAAUGGAGGAGUUAGAUGACUCAUUCAUUCCAGAAAUAGUUUUGAGCAUUUGCUCUGCAUCAGACCCGGUGCCACGUACCAUGGGUGCAAAGGGGAGCAGCAUAGUAGAGACGGGGUUCCACCGUGUUAGCCAGGAUGGUCUCGAUUUCCUGACCUCGUCAUCCUCCCGCCUUGGCCUCCCAAAGUGCUGGGAUUACAGGCUUGAGCCACCGCGCCCCGCUCUUUCGUGUUCCAAAGGCUUUUUAAAUAAACUUCCACUCCUGUCCUGGAUUCUGCUUUAUGGCCCUCAGUCGAAUUCUUUCUUCUGAGGAGGCAAGGACUGAAGUUGCUUCUGACCAGUACAGGAGAAAACGAAUACAGCAGGGAUGACUUCCACCAGCUCCACUUUGCAGCUCUGAGGUGUAUUAAAAAUGACCUGGAAGAAGUCAUGCCACGGGCCAGACCUUAACAUUCCUUUCGGCUUACCCCAGGAUUUCAGACAAAGCUUCACUUUCCUAACCAGUCACAAAUCAGAGAAUUUUUGAUUCCACCUAUGACCUGUGAGCUCCUGCUUCAAGAUAUUCCACCUUUUUUAGGCCAAACCAAUGUAUAACCUCCAAGUGUCGAUUUACACUUUCGACUGUAACUUCUGCUUUCCUGAGAUUUACCCCUGCCUUUAAAAACCCUUGCUUGUAAUCCCUCAGGGAGGCCGUGUAUUUAUUAAUCAUGAGCUGCCCAAUUCUCCUUGCUUGGUGCCCUGCAAAUAAACACCCUCUUUUCUCCCACUGCAAAACCUCAGUGUGGAUGUUUGGCUUUACUUCACCCCCAGGAAAGCAGACCCAGGUUUGACUCAGCAACAACAUCUGUUUCUAUUUUUCUCUGUAUAAAUAUUAAAAACCAUAAGUACAUGCUAUCUCCAAUUCCAAUAUAAACCCAUAGGGCUCAUUCUGGCCUUCCCAUUUUCUUAUGUGUAAUUCAUUUCUCUGAAAAUGAGAAUUCGAGUACUCAGAUAUUUACUUACCUACUCAAUCCUAGAAUAGAAAUAAAAUAAUUCAACAUAAUACCUUCUUAAGUUCCUGGACUUAGUUACACAAAAGUGAGGAAUUACACAUGAAUUCUAAAAUGUGAUUUUAAAAAUCUUUCCUUUUCCUUCUUAUCACCCUUAGUAGCUCUCUACAGUAAUAUAAAUUUUUACCCACCUA
rnacentral:lncRNA from 1 species